UAGGGAAUAUUGCACAAUGGGCGAAAGCCUGAUGCAGCAACGCCGCGUGCGCGAUGAAGGCCCUCGGGUCGUAAAGCGCUUUUAGGAGGGAUGAAUCAAGACAGUACCUCCAGAAUAAGGAUCGGCUAACUACGUGCCAGCAGCCGCGGUAAAACGUGGGAUCCGAGCGUUAUCCGGAAUUACUGGGCGUAAAGCGCGUGCAGGCGGCUUGGCAAGUCGGUCAUGAAAUCUCCCGGCUCAACUGGGAGAGGUUGUCCGAUACUGCCAGGCUAGAGGACAAGAGAGGGAAGUGGAAUUCCGGAUGUAGUGGUGAAAUACGCAGAUAUCCGGAGGAACACCAGUGGCGAAGGCGGCUUCCUGGCUUGUCCCUGACGCUGAGACGCGAAAGCGUGGGGAGCGAACGGG
rnacentral:rRNA from 1 species